CCAGGUAAAUACGAAUUGAGUAUUCAUGGUACUGAGCCACAAUUCGGGUAGUUUCAGGUAUCAAGAAAGCAGGGCAACCCAACUAUUUCAGGCAGUUUCAGUCUCAGGCAUCAAUGUCUUUGAUCCAAAGUCCUGUGGUUGACCAGUCCGUCUACUUCCCUUAAACGGAGACACAGAGGCAGCUAACUUCUUUUCGCCCAGCCAUUGAAGAACUACUAUACAGUAAGCAUGGAAAAAAUGUGCACAUAGGAUAUUUGGCAGAUAAGAAUAAACCAAUCAUCUCAAAGGACUGAGAAGAAACUGCAGAAAUAUAAAAGAUGCAUGCCUUGAUAGAGAAAUACCAACUUUAUGGAGAGCUAUACCUAGGAUUACCCGUCUUUGCAACAGGUCAGGGAGGCCCAGCAGAA